ensembl:lncRNA
GUUUACUGAUUCCAUGACAGUAAUGAGAGCAGGGUUUACUGAUUCCAUGACAGUAAUGAGAGCAGGGUUUACUGAUUCCCAUGACAGAUUGAGAGCAGGGUUUACUGAUUCCAUGACAGAUUGAGAGCAGGGUUUACUGAUUCCAUGACAGAUUGAGAGCAGGGUUUACUGAUUCCAUGACAGAUUGAGAGCAGGGUUUACUGAUUCCAUGACAGAUUGAGAGCAGGGUUUACUGAUUCCAUGACAGAUUGAGAGCAGGGUUUACUGAUUCCAUGACAGAUUGAGAGCAGGGUUUACUGAUUCCAUGACAUAAUGAGAGCAGGGUUUACUGAUUCCCAUGACAGAUUGAUAGCAGGGUUUACUGAUUCCAUGACAGAUUGAGAGCAGGGUUUACUGAUUCCAUGACAGAUUGAGAGCAGGGUUUACUGAUUCCAUGACAAUAAUGAGAGCAGGGUUUACUGAUUCCAUGACAAUAAUGAGAGCAGGGUUAACUGAUUACAUGACAGAUUGAGCCGACAGCAAUAACAACAUUGUUGAGAUUAGUAGUGACCAGGGCUCGUAGGAGUGCUGAUCUAGCAUCCGUUUUUGACUUUUAGAUCAUAAUGGUUAUAUGGACAGAUCCUAGAUCAAUACUCCUACUCUGAGGUCCUUUCUGGAUACAGACUGUGAUCUUAGCCAAACUGUGUUGGGUUGACAGUCGCUGGAUCGGGGUUCUAGUAGGAUCCCUAUGUUUGUUUACGUAAACUAUUCAUUGAUCAUUUAAAUUUGGUGAUCUAGUCAUUAGCUCUUGUUGCUGUUAUUUGUAAGGAUUUUACAGGGUAGGAUGAAGGUCUUUCAUUGGCCUGGACAUAACUACUGUCACGCAAUAUCUGAAUACUUGGUCAGAUGAAAUCAGGGAACGAGAUUUCUGGAUGAAUUUCUAUUUUAAUCCCUUCAUGACUAACAGGUUCAGACCCAUAUCAGGACUGACUUCACAGGAGUACUGUAGGUUAGCACUGUUGAUGAAUAUGAGGGUUUCAUCUCUCUUUAAAAAUAAUCAGUAUAUUCUCUGUUUCUUGUCUCUCUUUAUUGGGCUUUUAUUCAUUUCCAAAUGAUUCAUAAUUAAAGUUGGAUAAAUGAAUCAAGAAACAAGACCAAGACUUAAGCCCUUCUAUCUAUACAUGUUCAAAUUGUUUUAUCCUCCAAAUGUCUUUAUAUAAGUAGAUCCAUAGCCUACACAUGGUGUCUCCCAGUGAAUCAGGGGCUCCACCAGUUCCUAACCAGUCCUGUUGUAAACCAUAUCACCGCCCCUGUCAACCCUCCCAUGACAACACCUCCAAAACCACCUGUCAGAACCCCCAUCAACAACCCUGUCACUAUGGCGACGAAGAGCUCCAAUACGAUUCUCUGCCUGUCCUCCUUCCUCCACUGGUAUCUGUAGCGCUCCCUCUCCUCCACCUCAUUGGU